rnacentral:rRNA from 1 species
UACGUAGGGACCAAGCGUUGUUCGGAUUUACUGGGCAUAAAGGGCGCGUAGGCGGCGUGGUAAGUCACUUGUGAAAUCUCUGAGCUUAACUCAGAACGGCCAAGUGAUACUGCUGUGCUAGAGUGCAGAAGGGGCAAUCGGAAUUCUUGGUGUAGCGGUGAAAUGCGUAGAUAUCAAGAGGAACACCUGAGGUGAAGACGGGUUGCUGGGCUGACACUGACGCUGAUGCGCGAAAGCCAGGGGAGCAAACGGG